rnacentral:rRNA from 1 species
GGAGAAAGGGUGAUCUAUAGGGUUAACGCCCAGAAGAGCCGCAGUGAAUAGUCCCAAAAUACUGUUUAUCAAAAACACAGGUCUCUGCUAAACCGUAAGGUGAUGUAUAUGGGCUGACGCCUGCCCGGUGCUGGAAGGUUAAGAGGAGUGGUUAGAUUAAGCGAAGCUACAAAUCGAAUCCCCAGUAAACGGCGGCCGUAACAAUAACGGUCCUAAGGUAGCGAAAUUC